rnacentral:piRNA from 1 species
UAGGGUAGCUCUAAAUGCACUUGGGUCCCA